GGUGCGCGGGAGGGGCCGCGCACGGUACCCCCGCGGCUGCGCGGCCGUUGUCACAGCCCCGCUGCCUCGUCGCCAGCGUGAGGGCCGCUGCCGGCGGGGAGACCGGGGAAACUUUGGUGCUGUAACCUGCUGCUGAACCAACAAAUUGGAAACAAUUCAUAGCAUCAAAGACUUCAGACUGAUGUCGCCUAUCAAGUCUUCAAGCACUGUGAACUGAAACUACAGAUCUUGGAGUUCGUGUCACUUGGGUCAAAAGGAAUGCUUGUUUGAUAUUAACGAGGACUAUCACUGCCAUUAUGACGAGCCAGGAGAAGUGGCUUAACCUUAGUCCUGGAGAGUUCUCUCAGCUUCAGAAAUAUGCAGAAUGUUUCAGUAAAUGAGUACCAGAGUAGCACUGGCUUCUAAUAGCACUCUAGAGAUGAAAUGACUACCUGUACAGGAGGACCACUAAGCUGCUGUUCAUAUUGCAAGCUCUCCAAGGCAAGCUCUGCCCUUAAGACAAAUACUUCGCAGUUCUGUCUACACAGUGGGAGCUUUAGCUGUUAGUUCUACAAUUAUUUAAUUUUGUCACGUCAAAAGUACUUUAAAUUUCAUUGCUUUAUAUUUCUUGGUUUUCCUCCCAUUAAAUCUAUUUUUUUUUUUUUCUUAGGAGUUUCUUAUUUUUCUCCUUUUCCAACCCUGUUUUGUUAGCUACCCAGAAAACCUAUGUACUGUCUUGGGCUAACAGAAAUAAAGAAAUGAUCCAAUAAAUAAUCCAGCUAUCUUUACAGCUUAGCAUUCUGUCCCUGGGAGGCGUGCAUUUGAAAAGUUUUAUAAGAGUUCCAGGCACAAAUAUGUUAAUAUGUGUUCAGGGUCUGUUUUAACAUUAAAAAGCAGUACUAAAUUUUGCGUAAUUGAACACAGUGGUUGCCUAACAAUCACAUCUCCAUUUUAUUAUUUCAGUGGAAACUAGCAAUAUGGCCUUUGCACUGCAGAAAGUCUUUGAUUUGAAGCUGAGUCAGUCAGACUUCCUUGAGUAUUGUGUUGCUUUUUUUAAAAAGUUGCACUUUUAACAGCAUAUGUUAACAAAUAAGGAAUGUAUGCUAUUGCUGUAUUUUUGUAUAUUAAACCUGCAAGUUGAUAAAUACUUUAGGUUUUGUUCUGGUGGAUGUUAUUUAGGAUAUACACGAAUGACUAUUUUAUUUGAGAGGAAUGCCCACUUCACAUCUUAUUUUGAAUGCACAUAGUGUUGCUCCUUUCCAUGUUGCAUCCUUUUUUUUUCCCCUCAGAAGUCAUGCAGUUCAAGCAGUGAUGCACAGAGUCUCAGUUCAUAUCAGCUUUCUUCCAGUGAUAAGUUUGCAUUUACUUGCUGCUGGGUGUUGCACAAAGAACAGUGCCAGAGAGUUGGUACAUGCAGUGUUCUGAGGUGGUGGUGAAGGCAGACACAGUUAGGGUUUUUAAUUGUGAUUUGUCUUGUUUGUAAAAGCAGUUGAGAUUUUUUUUUUUUUUUUAAGUGCUUCUCUUAUUCAGACUGCCAAUACAUCACUAUGAACUUGUCUGUAAUAGCACUUUAGUGUUUAGGCCGAGCUUCUUACAGACUGCAUGCCUCAUACAGAUCCAUAUCUCUAUAUCUUCAAAAAUACAGUGGUAAUAAAAAUAAUAAAAAAAGCCACAUCACCACAGUUCUCAACUUAAAAGGGUGAGAAUCUGCUAUCUCUUACAGAUUGACAAGCAUUUCUGAAGAUUUGAUUUUUGCAUUGUUUUACUAAGUACUUGUGCAUGUCUGCUCAGUCUUUUCCACAAACACUGUCUCAAUGCCCUAUUCUUUGACAAUUGAAUCCUAUGUUGUUGUUGUUUUUUUGUAAUUUUGUGAGAUAAAUGAAUUAUAUUCCCAAUUUCUCCCACCUGGUUGGUUUUUACAGAAAAAAAAAAAAUAGUUAUUCCUGUU